UACGUAGGGUGCGAGCGUUGUCCGGAAUUAUUGGGCGUAAAGAGCUCGUAGGCGGCUUGUCGCGUCGUCCGUGAAAACCAGGGGCUCAACCCCUGGCUUGCGGUCGAUACGGGCAGGCUAGAGUUCGGUAGGGGAGACUGGAAUUCCUGGUGUAGGCGGUGAAAUGCGCAGAUAUCAGGAGGAAACACCAGUGGCGAAGGCGGCUCACUGGCCCGAUACUGACGCUGAGGCACGAAAGCGUGGGAGCAAACAGG
rnacentral:rRNA from 1 species